ACCACCUGGGGAUCUUGUUAAAAUGCAGAUUCUGACUCAGAAGGUCUGGAGUUGGGCCUGAGAGUGUGCAUUUCUAACAAGCCCCUAGGAGAUGCCAG
rnacentral:pre_miRNA from 1 species